AAGUCGUAACAAGGUAACCGUAGGUGAACCUGCGGUUGGAUCAUUAACAAAAGUGUCGAGGUUUUGCCUUGACUAUAGGGAAGAGGCCGAAAGGCUUCCGACCGCUAACCUUUUGUGAACAGUUUAUUGUCUCUGGCAGGAUUAGUAGUUUACUACUUGCCUGCCAGUAUAAACCUUGAGUAUUAUCUAGUCUUAACUACUUGAAAAAGUAAACAACUUUUGACAAUGGAUCUCUUGGCUCUU
rnacentral:misc_RNA from 1 species